rnacentral:rRNA from 1 species
GACGUAGGGCGCGAGCGUUGUCCGGAAUUAUUGGGCGUAAAGAGCUCGUAGGCGGUUUGUCGCGUCGGCCGUGAAAACUUGGGGCUUAACCCCAAGCCUGCGGUCGAUACGGGCAGACUUGAGUUCGGCAGGGGAGACUGGAAUUCCUGGUGUAGCGGUGAAAUGCGCAGAUAUCAGGAGGAACACCGGUGGCGAAGGCGGGUCUCUGGGCCGAUACUGACGCUGAGGAGCGAAAGCGUGGGGAGCGAACAGG